GUGCCUAUAGCUUAAUGGUAAAGCUCCGCUCUGUGGCAGCGGCGACACGGGUCCGAUCCCCGUUAGGCACCCA
rnacentral:tRNA from 1 species